rnacentral:rRNA from 1 species
GACGUAGGGGGCUAGCGUUGCUCGGAAUCACUGGGCGUAAAGCGCACGUAGGCGGAUUUCUAAGUCAGGGGUGAAAUCCUGGAGCUCAACUCCAGAACUGCCCUUGAUACUGGCGGUCUCGAGUCCGGGAGAGGUGAGUGGAACUGCGAGUGUAGAGGUGAAAUUCGUAGAUAUUCGCAAGAACACCAGUGGCGAAGGCGGCUCACUGGCCCGGUACUGACGCUGAGGUGCGAAAGCGUGGGGAGCAAACAGG